rnacentral:rRNA from 1 species
GACGUAGGGCGCGAGCGUUGUCCGGAUUUAUUGGGCGUAAAGAGCUCGUAGGCGGCUCGUUGCGUCAAUCGUGAAAACCCGGGGCUUAACUUCGGGCUUGCGGUUGAUACGGGCGGGCUGGAGUUCGGUAGGGGAGACUGGAAUUCCCGGUGUAGUGGUGAAAUGCGUAGAUAUCGGGAGGAACACCAGUGGCGAAGGCGACUACCUGGCCUGUUCUUGACGCUGAGGCGCGAAAGCUAGGGGAGCAAACGGG